UUUGGGUGUAUGAAAAAGUGUUGUGUUAUGCUUAUUUAUUGUUGUGCUACGAAAAGACAUUGAAUGACCGGUGCAAGAGACGACGACUAACAAAAGUUCGACUGAAGGAUCGAACAACAUCGCGGAAUCUUACUAGGAACAUUGAAUGACGUACUAGCUAUGAUUAAGUAUCCGAUACACAAUUAAAAGAAAGCUAAGAACUUGAGGACCAUAACGAGACGAUACUUGCUUUCCGACCGAUCGCAAUAGUCGACGGACCGAGCGCACUACCUGGAUUAGAAUGGAUAAAUAGCAAUCGGAUCAUUUUCAGCGUCAAGGAAUAUCGUUUAAGGACCUAUUGUAUAUUCACUCUCGGUUUUUGUGACGUUCUGCUUCAACCUUACUCAAUUUUGAUACAAAACUC